CCAAUACACAUUUCUUCCCUAUUGACAGAGUUUUACGACCCUAAGGCCUUCAUCACUCACGCGGCGUCGCUGCAUCAGGGUUUCCCCCAUUGUGCAAAAUUCC
rnacentral:rRNA from 1 species